AUAGCGUAUAUUAAAGUUGUUGCAGUUAAAAAGCUCGUAGUUGAACUUCAGGCCUGGGUGGGCGGUCUGCCUCACGGUAUGUACUGUCUGCCUGGGUCUUACUUCUUGGUGAGCCGGCAUGCCCUUUACUGGGUGUGUCGGGGAACCAGGACUUUUACCUUGAGAAAAUUAGAGUGUUCAAAGCAGGCCUAUGCCCGAAUACAUUAGCAUGGAAUAAUAAAAUAGGACGUGCGGUUCUAUUUUGUUGGUUUCUAGAGUCGCCGUAAUGAUUAAUAGGGAUAGUUGGGGGCAUUAGUAUUCAGUUGCUAGAGGUGAAAUUCUUGGAUUUACUGAAGACUAACUACUG
rnacentral:rRNA from 1 species